UUAAGGUAGCCUAGCUGAUUCUAGAAGACAGC
rnacentral:piRNA from 1 species